AAGAACAAAUUUCCUGAGAGAAGUUUGAAUCAAGCAGUUGGGGUUGCGGCCAUGUGUCUUCAAGAAGAGCCAUCAGUCCGUCCCUUAAUCGGUGAUGUCGUAGCUGCUCUUACCACCCUCGACGUGGAUGAACCAAUUCCUGAUUCUCCUGAGAAAGGCAGCGCAGAUACAGACGAUUCAGAUGAACAUGAGCCAAAGAGUUCAGAUAAUGAGGUCUUACCAAAAAGGAAUGAGGAUCAUAGCAGUGGGAAUGAUCAACAAAAUGUUCAUCACGAUCAAAGAUUUGGCUUUAAUGAAGAUCAUUUUGACAGUGAUGAGGAUGAUAGAGAAAGUUCUGAUUACGGGUAUGGAAGUACAUCAGGAUCAUCAGAGAAUGAGAUAGAAGACAGCAGGUUUGAACCUAGAGGAAUGACAACUAAAUCUGAAAAAUGGGGCUCAAAAUCACAACGUGAUAGCAAGUCAAAGUCAUCCUCUCAAACUAUCAGCUCAAGGUCAAACUCAGACGCAAAAGCAACGUAACACGCUCUGAAAGUAUCAGCUCAAAUGACGACUCUGAAAACAAAGACACAAUCAAUCAUCGGUAACAAAACAGCGUAAAGUCCAAGCAUGUAAGUUUUGGUGCAUUUUCAAGUCAGAGCAGCGAAGAUGAUGCGGAAUCAGACGGUGAACGUGAAAUUGGUUUAAAUCACUCAAGACAUGUGCAAUUACUUCAUGAAAUAAUACCUCAAAAAUUUAAAUCUUGAUAUUCAUUAAGGUACAUGGACUUAAGUCACCAUGGCACCUCUGUACAUCUCAGUUUUCCAGUAUAAGAGUACACUGAGCUCUUUCAAAUUAUAACUAUGGACAAUCAAUCCUGUCUGGCAAGCAGCUAUCUAAUUUAUUUCUUUUACAGAACAAAAAGGGGGAACAACAUUGAAAUCAAUCUUUCUGCACCUAAAAUUAGACUUAUCUUUCAUCCCAAAUAUUUUUAAAUCAUUUACGGGAAAUAUUAAAGCUAUUUUCCAGUAAAACUUUAGCCGACAUCUAUUCAACCUAAAAACAAAAGGGUUACGUUCGUUCAAACAGCUAAAAUCAGGUCACUUUGCCCCUAUCAAAGAAGGGUUUAAGUUUCUGAAAAUAUCAUCUCCUUAACCAACCAGAAAUACACUCACUUAAAUUGAGAUUAAACAUCAUACCAAAUGCCUUCUUUUCUAGGAGGAGAAUACUAAAUUUGCAGUGAAAAACUAAUUAUACCCUCGAGCAUACCUCCUAAGAAACGUUAUUGCAUCCGCUGACAAAAUAGCAUAGCAUAUGGAGGAGGAGAAAAAGAUAUUUCGCUGCCACUUCUGCUUCAGUAGAACGUCCGCAGAAGUACUAAUAGUAGUAGAAGUUAAUACUAUACAAUUGAUAUUAGUAGGGGAACAUUGAGGUGGGAUAUGUCGUUGCUUCGCAUUACCUCGUUGAUCAGCUGCUAGAGGAAUUCUCACAACAAGUGGUGGUUCCAAAAAGUCAGAGCCCAGAGGUAGAGGCAAUCUUCUCGAGUAUGUCAGCUACGCAUUGGCCUCUCCGUAUGAAAGAAAGAAAUAUGAAUGAUUUGCAGAAAUUUUUCCACACCUUAUUCAUUUCCUUUG
rnacentral:lncRNA from 1 species